UAUAGAUUGACUGGGGUAACU
rnacentral:miRNA from 1 species